UAAGGUAAGGUAAGGUAAGGUAAGGUAAGGUAAGGGCUGCCAAUGCAUGUCCCCUAGCAACUCCUUGGAUAUCCGAGACGGAUUGACCGAAUUCGCCCAGCGUGAGGAAAUGGGCGAUUUAUCUCAACAGGCGGCGCUGUCCUACAGUGGGCAGUGGUACGUCUCUCAGUGCGGCGCUGUCCUACAGUGGGCAGUGGUACGUCUCUCAGUGCGGCGGCGGCGCUGUCCUACAGUGGGCAGUGGUACGUCUCUCAACGCGGCGCUGUCCUACAGUGGGCAGUGGUACGUCUCUCAGUGCGGCGCUGUCCUACAGUGGGCAGUGGUACGUCUCUCAGUGGUGAGGACUGUGCCUCCCCCUGGUGGUCAUCUCAUCUCCUGCACCAAAGCCCUGCCCGGUGUGCGUGCAGGAAUGCAUCUUACAGUAGGCCUAUGGCCUAUGUGAAUGCAGAGCAGAUCUUCUGAUGAAGCUCAAAUGUGUUCAAAUUCGCAGAUUUGAAUUUAAAAAAAUGUUGUACUUGUCUUGUUCUUGGUUACUGCUGCACUCUUUCCCACCACCAGGUUGGCAUGUCUCCAUCUGCUGUGGGGUUAGCUGUCCUGAAAGAAAAAUGGACAACUCGCAGAGCUCCAAACAAAAAUUGCAGUUCCUGAUAGGCCUACGUGGAUGCCAGAGGAAGGCCGGAUGAAUCUGAAGAGACCAGCGCAGAUCCACUGAUGAAUCCACUAACCCGGAUUGAUGACUGGGACCAACGCCAAAGAUCAGAAGAAGGCUGGAUGAAUCUGAAGAGACCAGCGCAGAUCCACUGAUGCAAGACACCGUACUGAUGACUGCAUGGGACCAGGGUCGAAGAAUCACUCAUUCCGUUUGGAUUAUUCUGUUUAAAUAAACAGCCUAAAUCUUG